rnacentral:ncRNA from 1 species
GCAGAUUUGCCUACGUAUGUGAGAAUUCUCAAGGCAAAUUGCAGAGGUUGCUUGUAUUCCUUUGUAUACUUUUGGUCAAGUAAUAAAGGUUGGGAAUUUCCUGUAAUUUGUGUGGUUUUUACUAGUGCUCUUUGUUGCUUCAUUUAUUGUACAUUGUUGUGAGUGAAUUGUUUAGGCUCUGCCGUGGGGUUUUUUGCAUUGAGCGGCUGAGAGUAGGUAGGCAUCUAGUGCCAUUAUAGGGUAAAAAUUGGCCUACCGUGGUGGUGACAGGAGAUGGAGAAUUAGGGUUCGAUUCCAGAUGGGGGGCCCGAGAAACGGCUACCAUAUCCAAGGAAAGCAGCAGGCGCGCAAAUUACCCAAUCCUGACACAGGGAGGUAGUGAC